rnacentral:rRNA from 1 species
UACGUAGGGUGCAAGCGUUAAUCGGAAUUACUGGGCGUAAAGCGUGCGCAGGCGGCUUUGCAAGACAGAUGUGAAAUCCCCGGGCUUAACCUGGGAACUGCAUUUGUGACUGCAUGGCUGGAGUGCGGCAGAGGGGGAUGGAAUUCCGCGUGUAGCAGUGAAAUGCGUAGAGAUGUGGAGGAACACCGAUGGCGAAGGCAGCCCCCUGGGUUAACACUGACGCUCAGGCACGAAAGCGUGGGGAGCAGACAGG